UAGAUAUAGCGGGCUAUCAAUCGGCCCCUUACGAAAACAGCUUUACAGGAGAGUGCGCGGGAAGCAGUUGCUUUUCUCGCUCCUUAUCAAUUUUUCUGCCGUCACACCCAAAUUCACAUCAUCCUCUUCAAAUUCUCAUUCAUACAACGAUGGGUAUUAAGGGUUUAACGAAGCUUUUAGCUGAUAAUGCUCCCAAAUCAAUGAAGGAGAACAAAUUCGAAUCUUACUUUGGGCGUAAGAUUGCUGUUGAUGCUAGUAUGAGCAUUUACCAGUUUCUUAUUGUUGUGGGGAGAAGUGGAACUGAAAUGUUGACUAAUGAAGCUGGUGAAGUAACUAGUCAUUUGCAAGGAAUGUUUGCGCGGACAAUCAGACUUCUAGAAGCCGGGAUGAAGCCAGUAUAUGUUUUUGAUGGGAAGCCACCGGAGAUGAAGAAUCAAGAGCUGAAAAAACGUCUCUCAAAGAGAGCUGAGGCUACCGCGGGUUUGACAGAAGCUCUAGAGGCUGACAAUAAGGAAGAUAUUGAAAAAUUCAGUAAACGGACAGUGAAGGUGACAAAGCAACAUAAUGACGACUGCAAAAGACUUUUGAGACUCAUGGGAGUGCCCGUUGUUGAGGCACCCUCAGAAGCAGAGGCUCAGUGUGCUGCACUUUGCAAAGCUGGAAAGGUGUAUGCUGUGGCUUCUGAAGACAUGGAUUCCUUAACGUUUGGAGCUCCUAAGUUUCUUCGCCAUCUAAUGGAUCCUAGUUCAAAGAAGAUUCCAGUAAUGGAAUUUGACGUUGCAAAGAUUUUGGAGGAGCUAGAUUUGACCAUGGACCAAUUUAUUGACUUAUGUAUACUUUCUGGAUGUGAUUACUGUGACAACAUUCGAGGUAUUGGGGGGAUGACAGCUCUGAAGCUCAUACGCCAACACGGCUCUAUUGAAAAAAUACUGGAAAACAUAAGCAAAGAGAGGUACCAGGUACCAGAUGAUUGGCCAUAUCAGGAGGCUCGACGACUUUUUAAAGAGCCAGAGGUCUCAACUGAUGAUGAAGUACUUAAUCUUAAGUGGUCUCCUCCAGAUGAAGAAGGGUUAAUAACAUUUCUAGUAAAUGAGAAUGGGUUCAACAGUGAUAGGGUGACAAAGGCAAUAGAAAAAAUUAAAGCGGCAAAGAACAAGUCAUCACAAGGCCGAUUGGAAUCAUUUUUUAAGCCAACUGCGAAUCCAUCUGUACCUAUCAAACGGAAGGAAAGCAAAUGCGUGCUUAGAUCUUUCAAACCAGCAACUGAUCAUAAGAUGUCCUCUCUGCGAAUUUCUAACCAGUCAAGGUCCAUGGUUUUUGGCCAGUUGAGCAUGCCGAUCUAUGGUCUGUAUUCCAAGCUUUCCGUGCCAUUAUCCAGAAAUGUCUGCUUUGGUGCCUGAAGCUGAAUAGACCUGGAAACUCCAGUGAAUGAUGCUAAAGCUAAAGGGAGUAACAAGAAAACUAAGGUGGGUGGCGGUAAGAAGAAAAAAUAGUUGGCUUUGUAUCUUUGGAUGCCCAGAGUCAUUUACAUGUUGACCAGUUGGCAUGAAGGAGGGUCCAAUUCGUAAUACUCAUGCUCAAUCUUCCAAAUUGUAUAAUAUUUGUGUGACUAAUUUAACUAAUUUAAGUUAGAUAAUUAUGGUAUUUAACAAUUUGAGAUACAAUAAUUCAUUUGGUAGAGAACUAGAGAUGCUCUUAAUCUUUUCUUUUGAGUUAAUUUGAAUUGGUAGUUUUUCUCUA